rnacentral:rRNA from 1 species
UACGGGGGGGGCAAGCGUUGUUCGGAAUUACUGGGCGUAAAGGGCUCGUAGGCGGCCAACUAAGUCCGACGUGAAAUCCCCAGGCUCAACUUGGGAACUGCGUCGGAUACUGGAUGGCUUGAAUUCGGGAGAGGGAUGCAGAAUUCCAGGUGUAGCGGUGAAAUGCGUAGAUAUCUGGAGGAAUACCGGUGGCGAAGGCGGCAUCCUGGACCGACAUUGACGCUGAGGAGCGAAAGCUAGGGGAGCAAACGGG